UACAGAGGGGGGCAAGCGUUAUUCGGAAUUAUUGGGCGUAAAGGGCGCGUAGGCGGCCAUUCAAGUGACGGGUGAAAGCCCUCGGCUUAACCGAGGAACUGCCUGUCAGACUGGAUGGCUUGAGACCGGGAGAGGUGAGUGGAAUUCCCAGUGUAGCGGUGAAAUGCGUAGAUAUUGGGAGGAACACCAGUGGCGAAGGCGGCUCACUGGACCGGAACUGACGCUGAGGCGCGAAAGCGUGGGGAGCAAACGGG
rnacentral:rRNA from 1 species